rnacentral:lncRNA from 1 species
UGGGGCAGUUAUGGGAUUUAUGAGCAGCUAUGGGGCAGCUGUGGGAUUUGUGGGGCGGUUAUGGGGCAGCUGUGGGAUUUAUGAGGUGGUUAUGGGGCAGCUAUGGGGCAGCUGUGGGAUGUGUGGGGCAGCUAUGGGGCAGCGGUGGGAUUUAUGGGGCGGUUAUGGGGCAGCUGUGGGAUUUAUGGGGCGGUUAUGGGGCAGCUAUGCGGCAGCGGUGGGAUUUGUGGGGCGGUUAUGGGGCAGCUGUGGGGCAGCGGUGGGGUUCAGGGCGGCCCUGCGCUCUGCCCCACAGCCGCGGCCCGGCGGAGGCGGACGAGCUGCUGAAGCGGGUCGGCUUCCUUUACGACGGCACCUAUCGAUGGGUCGACCCACAUCGCCACUGACACGCAGCCGCCCCAUAGAUCCCGCCCCAUAGAUCCUGACCCAUGGAUCCGCCCCAUGGAUCCGCCCCAUAGAUCCCGCCCCAUAGAUCCAACCCAUAGAUCCCGACCCACAGAUCCGCCCCAUAGAUCCUGACCCAUAGAUCCCGCCCCACAGAUCCCGCCCCACAGAUCUGACCCACAGAUCUGCCCCACGGAUCCUGACCCAUAGAUCCCGACCCAUAGAUCCGCCCCACAGAUCCCACCCCAUAGAUCCACCACAUAGAUCCCACCCCACAGAUCCCAACCCAUAGAUCUAUCCCAUAGAUCCUGACCCAUAGAUCCCGCCCCACAGAUCCACCCCAUGGAUCCGCCCCAUAGAUCCCGACCCAUAGAUCCACUCCAUGUUACACUCCCAGCCCCAUAGCAAUGGGGCCCUGAGAUGGGGGGCAGUUGUGGGGUGCCCCAUAGAUCCCACCCCAUAGAUUUGCCCCAAGGAACACUCCCAGCCCCAUAGCAAUGGGGCCUUUAGGUUGGGGCAGUUGUGGGGUGCCCCAUAGAUCCUGCCCCACAGAUCCCCCCCAUAGAUCCGCCCCAUAGAUCCACCCCACAGAUCCCCCCCAUGUUACACUCCCAGCCCCAUAGAAACGGGGUCCUGUGGUGGGGAGCUGUGGGGUGCCCCAUAGAUCCGCCCCAUAGAUCCGCCCCAUAGAUCCGCCCCAUGUUACACUCCCAGCCCCAUAGCAGCGCUGGGGUCUUGUGCUGGGCGUUACCUGUGGGCUGCCCCAUAGAUCUGCCCCAUAGAUUCCGCCCCACAGAUCUGCCCCAUAGCUCCUG